rnacentral:rRNA from 1 species
UGGGGUAAGUUUUCCGCAAUGGGCGAAAGCCUGACGGAGCAAUGCCGCGUGGAGGUGGAAGGCCUACGGGUCGUCAACUUCUUUUCUCGGAGAAGAAACAAUGACGGUAUCUGAGGAAUAAGCAUCGGCUAACUCUGUGCCAG